rnacentral:rRNA from 1 species
UACGGGGGGAGCAAGCGUUGUUCGGAUUUACUGGGCGUAAAGGGCGCGUAGGCGGCCACUGCAAGUCGGUUGUGAAAUCUCCGGGCUUAACCCGGAAAGGUCAAUCGAUACUGCAGGGCUAGAGUGCAGAAGGGGCAACUGGAAUUCUCGGUGUAGCGGUGAAAUGCGUAGAUAUCGAGAGGAACACCGUGGCGGAAGGC